GCCGAAGACUAUCACAGGGUUCCAGAC
rnacentral:piRNA from 1 species